rnacentral:rRNA from 1 species
GGGGAAUAUUGCACAAUGGGCGCAAGCCUGAUGCAGCGACGCCGCGUGAGGGAUGGAGGCCUUCGGGUUGUAAACCUCUUUUAUCGGGGAGCAAGCGAGAGUGAGUUUACCCGUUGAAUAAGCACCGGCUAACUACGUGCCAGCAGCCGCGGUAAUACGUAGGGUGCAAGCGUUAUCCGGAAUUAUUGGGCGUAAAGGGAGCGCAGGCGGUCAGGAAAGUCUGGAGUAAAAGGCUAUGGCUCAACCAUAGUGUGCUCUGGAAACUGUCUGACUUGAGUGCAGAAGGGGAGAGUGGAAUUCCAUGUGUAGCGGUGAAAUGCGUAGAUAUAUGGAGGAACACCAGUGGCGAAAGCGGCUCUCUGGUCUGUCACUGACGCUGAGGCUCGAAAGCGUGGGUAGCGAACAGGAUUAGAUACCCUGGUAGUCCACGCCGUAAACGAUGAGUGCUAGGUGUUAGGCCCUUUCCGGGGCUUAGUGCCGGAGCUAACGCAAUAAGCACUCCGCCUGGGGAGUACGACCGCAAGGUUGAAACUCAAAGGAAUUGACGGGGGCCCGCACAAGCGGUGGAGCAUGUGGUUUAAUUCGAAGCAACGCGAAGAACCUUACCAGGUCUUGACAUCCCGAUGCUAUUCUUAGAGAUAGGAAGUUACUUCGGUACAUCGGAGACAGGUGGUGCAUGGUUGUCGUCAGCUCGUGUCGUGAGAUGUUGGGUUAAGUCCCGCAACGAGCGCAACCCUUAUUGUUAGUUGCCAUCAUUAAGUUGGGCACUCUAGCGAGACUGCCGGUAAUAAACCGGAGGAAGGUGGGGAUGACGUCAAAUCAUCAUGCCCCUUAUGACCUGGGCUACACACGUGCUACAAUGGUCGGUACAACGAGUUGCGAGCCGGUGACGGCAAGCUAAUCUCUGAAAGCCGAUCUCAGUUCGGAUUGGAGGCUGCAACUCGCCUCCAUGAAGUCGGAAUCGCUAGUAAUCGCGGAUCAGCACGCCGCGGUGAAUACGUUCCCG